UACGGAGGGUGCAAGCGUUAUCCGGAUUCACUGGGUUUAAAGGGUGCGUAGGUGGGUUGGUAAGUCAGUGGUGAAAUCUCCGUGCUUAACAUGGAAACUGCCAUUGAUACUACUGAUCUUGAAUUUUCUGGAGGUAAGCGGAAUAUGUCAUGUAGCGGUGAAAUGCUUAGAUAUGACAUAGAACACCAAUUGCGUAGGCAGCUUACUACACGAUCAUUGACGCUGAGGAGCGAAAGCUAGGGGAGCAAACGGG
rnacentral:rRNA from 1 species